CCUCUGGAGUGCUAUACCAAACGAGAGUAGCUUUGGCGAAAUCGGGCACGAUGAACAAGGAA
rnacentral:sRNA from 21 species